UUUUUUUUUUGGUACAGGGGAUCAAACUCGGGUCUUUGCACUUGCGUAGCAGGCGGCAAAACCACUGAGCUAAAAAUCCCGCCCACACUUGGCACCUUCUUAUAAAAAACUCUCAAUAAAUAAAUCUCAUUUCCAGGUUUCAUAUUUGCUAGUAUUCCAUUUUUCUUCUUUUCCCCCAACAAGGUUACCCUACCUUCCAGCAAAAAUCUCAAGCUCUUGCCAAAAACAAAACUCAAAAAGGUUUGUUUUCAGAUGAGGAGGACUCUGAGGCUCCCCACAUCAGUCCCCCUUUUUGAUGAUGAAGAUGAAGAGGUGUAUGAAGCCAUCGUGCCUUCCUGCCAAUUGUUUUUCUAGGAUAAUCUUUUUGGGGUGGCUGAUGCUAAGAAACAAACACCAUCUCUACAAAUUCAGAGUCAGGAGAAAGUAAAACCCUUGGAACAACCUACAAAGAAGGGCUCUGCUGUACUGUUUAGCAGUGAUGAGGAGAUGAGUUAUGGUUUCACUUGAAGAUGAGAAGCAUCUUAUUGGAUGGGAUUGAAGAGUUAUAGCUAGCCUGGGGACACUGAAGGGGACAUUUACAAGAUUGUGGGUCUUUUUAAAGACUAAAAGUGUAAAUAAGGAUCAAAAUGUAUAAUUGAUAUUGUGAAAUAGGAAGAAAAGGUC
rnacentral:lncRNA from 1 species